UCUACAGAAGAGGCAGGAAGUCCCCUGGGCCUCUUCAGAGAAACGGCCCCGCUGAGAUAAAAGACAGAGGAUGAAGGUCUUGCUGGUACAGCAUCCUCCUUGCUGGUACCUCAUCCUCCAACCUGUGCCUCCUGCACUUCGCUGCACUUUCUUUCAUCCCAUUCCACGCGUCCCUCACAUCCUCCCAUCCCAAACUCUGCUGAGCGCAGCCUUUGAUUUCUCAUGUUCAGGGGCUCUCCCUUCCUGCCAUUAGUAGGGAAUCGCCACACACACGGAACAGUGCUGGUUAAGAGGCCAAGGAUACAACCCAACAGGGCUGUACCACAAACCUCUCCCCGAGUUCUCUCCUCCCUUGCUGAUCUGUGUCUGCAAGCCUGGAUCACAUGGGGAGGUGCUUUGAUGGGCAGUAUGGUCUCCAGCCCGUAGAGAAACAAAGUCCCUACAGACAUGUCAGCUAGCCUCCAUAGUGACAAAAAAGCAUGACUUCGGUGUGCGUUCCACUCCUGUCCCCAGCUCCUGACCCUGUCGGGUCAUUCACUGCUGUUUAGAGCCUUGACAAAUGAAGACACAGGCAUCUCCUGUUCUAGGUGACAGAGGAGACCCUCGGUCUGCAGACACUUAUCUCCACUCUCCAGAAAUGGCAAGUGCUGGAUUGGCUGUUGGGGGAGGAAUUUCGGUAGCAGAACACCUGACUGGCACGCGUGACGUCCUAGGUCCAUCCCCAAUAAUAGGGGUGAAAUCUGCAGUCAAGUGCUGAGCCGAAGCACCGCGUGCCAGCCAUGUCUGACCUACUGUGUUCAGCAGGUCCCAUUCAUCAUGGAGCGGUGAUAUGCAGACCCACAGUUUCAAAACCAAAGGUAUCCAAGGACAGAGCUUAUCUGAGAUGCUGGCCAGAACCUGAGUCUGCUUUUUCGGAUGCUUUGGGCUUCCUUUUCUCUGAAGCACCCUCUCUGCCACAUGGACACCUGUCUGCCAUUCCCUAUCUCCUCCUAUGGGUCACUGCUGAGGGCCAAUGCUACCAGCUCAGAGGGGGCCCUCUAAACUCCAGGUUUUCUAAACUCUGGUCCAAUUGCUCUGUUUGAGUGUGUGUGUGUGUGUGUGUGUGUGUGUGUGUGUGUGGGCAUGUGUGCAUGCGUGCGCGAGUGUGUGCGUGUGUGCAUGUGUGCGACCAUGUGAGUGCGUGUGUGUUGUGUUUGCACAUGCCACAUCAUGCUUGUAGAGGCCAGAGGACAACUCUUGGGAGACAGUUCUCUCCUUCUGCUGCGUGGAUCCUUGGAUUAAAUUCAGGUUGUCAGGCUUGGCA